rnacentral:rRNA from 1 species
AUGAUGCUUGUUGACAACUCUAGUGAUGAAUACUACGAUGAAACAUCAAUUAAUCAUGCUAAUCAAGAUAAAACGAAUGGCAAUGAUAAGGAGAAGAUUGAGCUCCUAACUAAAGAACUAAACACUCUUAAGUUAGCUCAUGAAACUAUCUUAGGAGGUCAUCGAGAACUUUUAAGGACUCAUGAGAAGUUACGCUUUGAAAAGCUCAACCUUGAGCAAGAGCAUGAGUUCUUAAAGGCAAUCAAUGAUGAUCUUCGCAAGAAAAGUUCUUCUUACAUUGCCAAGCGUUUACUCUUAUCUGCUUACAUGCCCCAAGUCAAGUCUAGUAAUAAGAACAAGAAAGAUUAUUCCUCUAGUAUUAACAAUAAUCAUGCUAAAUCCAAUAUUGUUGCUUCUAGUAGUUCUUUUGAUUCCACUAAUGAUUCUCUUAGCCAAGUUACACAUGAGCAAGAAAAUAGCUUAUUGAAGGGAAUUAUAGAGAAAGGUGUUUACAAGAGUGUAGCGACCAGACCUCAAACAGUCUGA